rnacentral:rRNA from 1 species
UACGUAGGGGGGCUAGCGUUGUCCGGAAUCAUUGGGCGUAAAGAGCGCGUAGGCGGCCAGAUAAGUCCGGUGUGAAAGUCACAGGCUCAACCUGUGAAUGCCGCUGGAAACUGUCUGGCUAGAGUCCGGAAGGGGCGAGUGGAAUUCCUGGUGUAGCGGUGAAAUGCGCAGAUAUCAGGAGGAACACCAAUGGCGAAGGCAGCUCGCUGGAACGGUACUGACGCUGUGGCGCGAAAGCUGGGGGAGCGAACGG